GGCUGAAGAAAGAAACAUAAAGCCCAUAGUAGUUUAGGCCCAAAACUGAUCGGUGGAGAGAAGAGGAGGCAUGGAUUCGCUGUUCACUCCUUUCUCUGCUCUCCUUUGCGCCAUUUCAGAGCUAGUCUCUCGUGCUGUUCUUAUGGUUUUUAUUUCCAUGAGAAGCAAUUUACAGCGUCUGAUAUCAAGAAAGGCAAAGACCCAAUCCAAAGUUGCUUUGGAUGUUGCAGCUUUCUCUCUUGGAUUUGUCACCUAUUGAAAGAUCGUGGAAUUGCAGCAUUAGACCGACAAGAACUUCUGCAAGGAGUGUCUUCAAUGUCUGGCAACUCUGGAAUUUCUCUAGCUGGAGAAGAGGGGAACUCAACUAUUGGCUCACAACAGUUAGUUUGAUUACUGCAUUCAGUGGAAACACAUUCUUCAAUCGAGUUUAUCUUUGAUGUCAUCUUUGCAUCGUUAUCAUGACAAUAUGAAGUUUGUGAUUCUUGGGACUCUUGGAACUCUUGUGACUCUUGGGACUCUUGGAACUCUUGUGUCUUCUCUUCAGGACCCUCGAGAAGAACUUUGGAACUGAAAGAGAAAAAAACUGGCAAGUCAACGUCUGUUAAAAUAAUUUUUCUUUGGUUAUAUGGUUGCCUUUUGAGAACUAGAAACGGUUUAAAGAGAGCUUUGUUUUGCUUGCAAAAUUAUGUGUAAUUAUAUAUGUAACUAACAAAUGAGACUUUUCAAGUUUGUUAUUGUCAAGUAAAUUAAAUAAACUAACAUAUUUCUU